GAUGAACGCUGGCGGCGUGCCUAAUACAUGCAAGUCGAGCGAACGGACGAGAAGCUUGCUUCUCUGAUGUUAGCGGCGGACGGGUGAGUAACACGUGGAUAACCUACCUAUAAGACUGGGAUAACUUCGGGAAACCGGAGCUAAUACCGGAUAAUAUUUUGAACCGCAUGGUUCAAAAGUGAAAGACGGUCUUGCUGGCACUUAUAGAUGUAUCCGCGCUGCAUUAGCUAGUUGGUAAGGUAACGGCUUACCAAGGCAACGAUGCAUAGCCGACCUGAGAGGGUGAUCGGCCACACUGGAACUGAGACACGGUCCAGACUCCUACGGGAGGCAGCAGUAGGGAAUCUUCCGCAAUGGGCGAAAGCCUGACGGAGCAACGCCGCGUGAGUGAUGAAGGUCUUCGGAUCGUAAAACUCUGUUAUUAGGGAAGAACAUAUGUGUAAGUAACUGUGCACAUCUUGACGGUACCUAAUCAGAAAGCCACGGCUAACUACGUG
rnacentral:rRNA from 1 species